UGAGGAAUAUUGGGCAAUGCCCGCAAGGGUGACCCAGCAACGCCGCGUGGAGGAUGAAUGUCGUAAGAUUGUAAACUCCUGUUAGAGGGGAAGAAUAGUACCGGUUGGACCGGUAUAUGACUGUACCCUCAGAGAAAGCCCCGGCUAACUACGUGCCAGCAGCCGCGGUAAUACGUAGGGGGCAAGCGUUAUCCGGAUUCACUGGGUUUAAAGGGUGCGUAGGUGGGCAGGUAAGUCAGUGGUGAAAUCUCCGGGCUUAACCCGGAAACUGCCGCUGAUACUAUUUGUCUUGAAUAUUGUGGAGGUAAGCGGAAUAUGUCAUGUAGCGGUGAAAUGCUUAGAUAUGACAUAGAACACCAAUUGCGAAGGCAGCUUACUACACAAUCAUUGACGCUGAGGCACGAAAGCGUGGGGAUCAAACA
rnacentral:rRNA from 1 species